AAUCGCCCGGCGCACGGCUGUUACAGUGCGAAGUCCGACCAUCAGGGGAAUCCGGUGAGAAGCCGGAACUGACGCGCAACGGUAUGAGGCACCGCCUCGAGUCCGAUCACCUGUAGUCGGGAUGACCGCUGA
rnacentral:ncRNA from 2 species